rnacentral:rRNA from 1 species
GACGAACGCUGGCGGCGUGCUUAACACAUGCAAGUCGAACGGAAAGGCCCUGCUUUUGUGGGGUGCUCGAGUGGCGAACGGGUGAGUAACACGUGAGUAACCUGCCCUUGACUUUGGGAUAACUUCAGGAAACUGGGGCGAAUACCGGAUAGGAGCUCCUGCUGCAUGGUGGGGGUUGGAAAGUUUCGGCGGUUGGGGAUGGACUCGCGGCUUAUCAGCUUGUUGGUGGGGUAGUGGCUUACCAAGGCUUUGACGGGUCGCCGGCCUGAGAGGGUGGCCGGCCACAUUGGGCCUGAGAUACGGCCCAGACUCCUACGGGACGCAGCAGUGGGGAAUAUUGCACAGUGGGCCGAAGCCUGAUGCAGCAGCGCCGCGUGCGGGAUGCCGUCCUUCGAGUUGUAAACCGCUUUCUCCUUUGACGAAGCGUUAGUGACGGUACUGGGUAAAGAAGCACCGGCUAACUACGUG